UACGAAGGGGGCUAGCGUUGCUCGGAAUCACUGGGCGUAAAGGGUGCGUAGGCGGGUCUUUAAGUCAGGGGUGAAAGCCCGGAGCUCAACUCCGGAACUGCCAUUGAAACUGUAAGACUUGAGGAUGAGAGAGGUGAGUGGAAUUCCCAGUGUAGAGGUGAAAUUCGUAGAUAUUGGGAAGAACACCGGUGGCGAAGGCGGCUUACUGGCUCAUAUCUGACGCUCAGGCGCGACAGCGUGGGGAUCAAACAGG
rnacentral:rRNA from 1 species